UUUUCCUACGGGAGGCAGCAGUAGGGAAUAUUGCUCAAUGGGGGAAACCCUGAAGCAGCAGCGCCGCGUGGAGGAUGAAGGUUUUAGGAUUGUAAACUCCUUUUGUUAGAGAAGAUUAUGACGGUAUCUAACGAAUAAGCACCGGCUAACUCCGUGCCAGCAGCCGCGGUAAUACGGAGGGUGCAAGCGUUACUCGAAAUCACUGGGCGUAAAGAGUGCGUAGGCGGGGGAAUAAGUCAGAUGUGAAAUCCUGUAGCUUAACUACAGAACUUCAUUUGAAACUGUUACUCUGGAGUGUG
rnacentral:rRNA from 1 species